AUUGAACGCUGGCGGCAUGCCUUACACAUGCAAGUCGAACGGUAACAGGUCUUCGGAUGCUGACGAGUGGCGAACGGGUGAGUAAUACAUCGGAACGUGCCUAGUAGUGGGGGAUAACUACUCGAAAGAGUGGCUAAUACCGCAUGAGAUCUACGGAUGAAAGCAGGGGAUCGCAAGACCUUGUGCUACUAGAGCGGCCGAUGGCAGAUUAGGUAGUUGGUGGGAUAAAAGCUUACCAAGCCGACGAUCUGUAGCUGGUCUGAGAGGACGAUCAGCCACACUGGGACUGGGAAACGGCCCAGACUCCUACGGGAGGCAGCAGUGGGGAAUUUUGGACAAUGGGCGCAAGCCUGAUCCAGCAGUGCCGCGUGAAGGAUGAAGGCCUUCGGGUUGUAAACUGCUUUUGUACGGAACGAAAAGCCCCGGGUUAAUACCCUGGGGUCAUGACGGUACCGUAAGAAUAAGCACCGGCUAACUACGUGCCAGCAGCCGCCGUAA
rnacentral:rRNA from 1 species